UUUUCUAUCCAAUUGAUUUCUCAGUAUCCAUUCCAAUACUCCCUCUUCUCUCUCACGCCUACUCCCUCACACUCUAACCAUUCUCUUCAAUUCAAGCUUUGAACUAAGGAAAGGAAGCAUGGAUUCUUACAUGCAAUCAUGGUAGCAACUUCUCUAGCCAUAAGUAAACAAGGUAACAGACUUACCUUUUCCUUUUCUUUAACAUAAUCCUUGUAAUUUCCCAUUUUAAUUAUUCAACCAAAAUCUGAUGAGUACUCCCUUCCUUUUGAAUUGAGAGCUUGUAUGUGAGUUAUAGUAGCCAAGGAGUCAUGGGUUCAUGUUUGAAGCUUGAAGUUUUGAGUGGUGACUUUUGAAAGAGAUUGUGUUGAAUUUCGUUUUUGGAUAUACUUUCAGAAAAACAGUAAGUACUCCUUCCCUGUAACUCCAAUCGAGUUAAUUCUUUAAGUUCUGUAAAGCUAACGAAUUUACCCUCGUUGGCAUAUCAAAUUUUAUCGGAUUCGGAGUUACAAUGCAUUAUGUAGGUGAUGCUAAAGUUGAAGAUACGAAACAGGAUUUCUGCAGAAAAUGUGUUUGGACAGUGCUGCACUUAAAGGUUAACUGCGCCCUCUCUAUAACUCGGUUUGACAUUCCAUUUGCUUCUAUGGAUAGCUAACUCGAUUACGGUUGGUAUGGUUCCGGUUUUGUGAAUUUUCAAUAAGGGAUGAGGUCUGUAUGAAUUUUUGAAGUUGAUACUCCGAUGCAGAAUUCUGCAGAAAGGUAUGGGUACGGGUUUGAAGCAUUUCGAUUGAAAUUAUGCAUAUCGGCGAGCUCUGGAAAUGACAAUGGUAUUGUUCAAGCGUAUUUGCAGGUGGGUUCCCUUAGAGCCUUAAACUCUAGUUAGUUUUAACUCUAUUAGUUUCCCCAAAUUAUGAAUCUUGCAUGAUAACAUAAGCAUUAGGGUGAAUUGUGUAUGAGAGGAGCUUAAUCCCAAAGCUUCUCUUCGUUUUAAUUAUGUGAAAUAUGUUGUAAUGUUCAUGGCUAAUAAGUAAAGGGAUUGUGAUAAUGAUUUUCUGCAAAACGGAUGGAAAUUGUAAAAACAGAGUAAUGAACUGAUAGCCUCGCUAAGCGAAAUGGUACUUGCUAGGCGAGAAUAUCAGCUCAGUACUAUGUAGAAUUUAAAAUUAUGAACAAACUCACGUUUUUGAAUCCCCUACCUUUUUAGUACAUUUUCUGUGAAUAAUACAAGUAUAAUAAUUAAUUAAAAUGUUAAGUACACGUUAAGUUAAGAUAAUCAGGAUAUCAGGACAAGUUAGCUACUCCAGGGAGGGAAAUUCAUGGGUAGGAUANNN
rnacentral:lncRNA from 1 species